rnacentral:rRNA from 1 species
UGCAGCAACGCCGCGUGAGGGAUGACGGCCCCCGGGUUGUAAACCUCUUUUAGUAGGGAAGAAGCGAAAGUGACGGUACCUGCAGAAAAAGCACCGGCUAACUACGUGCCAGCAGCCGCGGUAAUACGUAGGGUGCAAGCGUUGUCCGGAAUUAUUGGGCGUAAAGAGCUCGUAGGCGGUUUGUCGCGUCUGCUGUGAAAUCCCGAGGCUCAACCUCGGGCUUGCAGUGGGUACGGGCAGACUAGAGUGCGGUAGGGGAGAUUGGAAUUCCUGGUGUAGCGGUGGAAUGCGCAGAUAUCAGGAGGAACACCGAUGGCGAAGGCAGAUCUCUGGGCCGUAACUGACGCUGAGGAGCGAAAGCAUGGGGAGCGAACAGGAUUAGAUACCCUGGUAGUCCAUGCCGUAAACGUUGGGCGCUAGAUGUAGGGACCUUUCCACGGUUUCUGUGUCGUAGCUAACGCAUUAAGCGCCCCGCCUGGGGAGUACGGCCGCAAGGCUAAAACUCAAAGGAAUUGACGGGGGCCCGCACAAGCGGCGGAGCAUGCGGAUUAAUUCGAUGCAACGCGAAGAACCUUACCAAGGCUUGACAUACACCGGAACGGCCAGAGAUGGUCGCCCCCUUGUGGU